GACGAACGCUGGCGGCGUGCUUAACACAUGCAAGUCGAACGGAAAGGCCCUGCUUUUGUGGGGUGCUCGAGUGGCGAACGGGUGAGUAACACGUGAGUAACCUGCCCUUGACUUUGGGAUAACUUCAGGAAACUGGGGCUAAUACCGGAUAGGAGCUCCUGCUGCAUGGUGGGGGUUGGAAAGUUUCGGCGGUUGGGGAUGGACUCGCGGCUUAUCAGCUUGUUGGUGGGGUAGUGGCUUACCAAGGUUUUGACGGGUAGCCGGCCUGAGAGGGUGACCGGCCACAUUGGGACUGAGAUACGGCCCAGACUGCUACGGGAGGCAGCAGUGGGGAAUAUUGCACAAUGGGCGGAAGCCUGAUGCAGCAACGCCGCGUGCGGGAUGACGGCCUUCGGGUUGUAAACCGCUUUCGCCUGUGACGAAGCGUGAGUGACGGUAAUGGGUAAAGAAGCACCGGCUAACUACGUG
rnacentral:rRNA from 1 species